CGGUGCACUUCGCUAGGUUGAGGCCAGCAUCGGUUUCCGUAGGGGGAUAAAAGCUUUAGGAAUGUGGCUCUUCGGAGUGUUAUAGCCUAUUGUAUAAUACCUUUAUGGGGACCGAGGUACGCGCUCUGCAAGGAUGCUGGCGUAAUGGUCAUCAA
rnacentral:rRNA from 1 species